AAUUCCCUGCUGAUGAAGUUGCUGGGGGAGCUUUGUCUGAAGGCGAAAUCCGGGCGCAAAACCUCGUUUUGCCACUUUCAUAUGUCAUCAUGAGAGUCAACAGAAUUCCUGUGACGGCGUAAGUUUACGUGCGACGAGAGGCAGGGCUGGCUGAAAAUUAUUUUGGAAGCGGUGUGGAUAGGAGAGCGUAUUGUAAAAAUACGUGAAGAUGUAGCAGCGAGUGAUUGCGUGCGUUGGCUCCCCGGUCUUUUGUCUGUGCACCUUGCUGCCAGCCUUCCUCCAUCCAAAGAAUACGAGGAGCGGGCUGAGCGUGUGCGAAGCCAGCCCUCUAUGUGAACUACCCUUGGCCUGUUUGGGAGAGCGUCGUGAGAGAUUUAUGUCUGCUCGCGGAACACGGCGCGCUGGAUGCGUUGCACCUGUUCAGACAUAAGCACGCUAUUCCAGACGCGGGGGAAAAGGUUCCCGAUCCACGCGGGGACGUUAUUUGGGGAGGGGGUCCGAUUGUUUACCGGGUCCCUCCUCUCCGAGCCCCGCCGUCCCCUAUUGUCUGGGGAGCCGAGCUCCGCGCCCGGCCCCGCCGCGCACCUCCCCGCCCGCAGCGAGCGGAGCCGGAGGGCGGCGGGGAGGAAGGUGCGGCGGGGCCGCCCCGGAGCCCAACCUGUUGCUGCGGCGGCCGAGCGGGGAAGGAGGGCCGUCGGCCGCCCCGGAGGAGGGCUUUGUCUGCGCCCGGCUCCGCUCCCCCCGCCGCCGCUCCCGCUCCCUCUGCCCGCCCGCUCUCGCUCUCGCUCUCCCUCUCGCUGUGGUUUUUGUAAGCAUAAAGAAGAAGUGUUGAGAGCUGCUCUCAGCCCUUUUGGAGUCCGAAGUCAAAAGGGAACUAGGGGGCUUGACACAUCCCUUGCAUCUUCCAUUUACUCUGACCACAGUCCCUCCCUGUUCUCUCAAGUGGAGCUAAGCCCUGCUUCCCUCCCUCUUGAUUCCCAGACAGCUACAUGACUGCCUGAAGUUACAUUGUAGAUGCUGAAAUCACUGCACCUUAAAAACAAAAAGAUUAAGCUGCACUGCAUUCUUCAGUGGUUGGCAGUUUUCCUCAACUUUGCAAGAGAGAGAGAGAGAGAUUUGGUUGGAAUGAAACCUUGCUCUUCGUGCAGUCUGCUUGAGAUGCAGCUUUGAAAGGUAUCAUCCCAUUUUCUGUCUUGAAACAAAAGACGAAAACCACUAACAGGUAGAAAUUUCAAUGCCAAACCACCUGUUAAUUCACUGCUGAAAAGCCCUUUGGCAAUUCGAUUUUCGCUGUAUCCACUUGGAACAUUUGUGUGGCAAACAACCACAGUAUCUGUCUGUACCCGUAAUUUUGGUAAAGGAGCUAAGUUGAUUGGGAAUGUUUGGAUUGAAAUUCAGGUUGUUAGACAGAUAAAUGCUUCUACUGUCUUGGUCUUGCUUUUUGACUGGAGUAGCAUUCAUCUCUCAUAUAAUUGAGACUAAUACUGAAAGUACCAAUCCUGCAGUAAUAUUCUGUACAUGGUAAUAUGAAAGGAGAUUCAUUUUAAGUUCUGUGUACGGAGGGUCCAGAUCUGCUUCAUAUCCUGGUGGUCAGAAGUGAGGUGUAUGGUGAAACUGUGAAAAUGAAAGCUGUGAAAUACUCUGUAAGUAAUAGUAAUACGUAUCUUUUGAGAGCACUACAAUUCAGAAAAUCAUUUCAAAUUCAGUUAAAAUGUUAUCCUUGGAGUGCUAUACAAAUGCUCCUUCUGAACCGUGCAUUGCAAAAGCAGCCACUGUUUGUUAAUAUGGCAUUAAAAUGUUGGACUCCACCC
ensembl:lncRNA